GGUCAAUCGUACUGUACAUCAGUAGGCCUAUGAAUGUCACAUCCUCUGCACUGCAUCACACAGAAGCCAUGCAUUCAUUUUAGCAUGACAUCAUUUUUCUAAAGUCUUUCACCAGACAGUUUGGCCUGGCAAGAGAGCCUAGUUUAACUAUGACUCAAGCAGUGCAACGCCUUCAUCCAAAGCAUGAAGGCGUUGUUUCAAAUGUCACCAUCAGGUCACAGCACGGGAUUGCCGUGCAGGCCUUCAAUUCACUAUUGUUGAGGAGGCCAUUGGUCGAGGCAUGCCAACUGACUCUUACGGCUCGUGUUCACUAGCAAAUGGUAAAUUGCCUUGUGCUGCUUAGGCCGCCCAGAGUGGCUCGCUUGUGGGCGUGCUGGCAGCAUAUGGCAGCACAUUCGAUUGUGCGUCAGGAAUCCAGAAUAGCAAGUUUGUAUGAACGUAUGGUUAUUAAAUGGGUAAAUAGUUAAAUAGUAAUAUGCUCUAAAACGCUCUGGUGACAAACAAACUUUGCUGCCCUGUUUCCAAUUGUCCACAUAGCUGGGAGAACCGAUUCAAGUAAGUAAAUGCAUUUCGAAAAUGUAAAAAAACAAUGUGUUAUUAGCUAACUAGCUACAGUGCAGGCUAACUCAAAUUAGCUGCUAACAUAGCUAGUUAACUAUCUAGCCAACUUUACAUACUGUAUAGAUAGCUAGCUAAGUGAAUUAAAUAUCACCAGUUACCUAACUUAAUAUUAGCUAGCUAUCUUGGUGUAUUUAUCACUGUAAAAAAAAACUACUCCAAAUGCAUUUGUAGGUAGCUAGCUAACAGCCAUGGAGGAGGGUGAAAGGAUAGCAGCCCCAACUGUCAAAGUGAGAGAGUAGGCUAUUCUGGAUAGGGCAGGUACUUUUGUGUAGUUCCAGUACCUAGAAGUGAGGACAGAUUUAAAAGUAACAUAAUAUUCAGUGCCGUCUAAUUUGAGUAUACCGAAGUCUGUUUCUUGUGAGGUUUUCUGUCCUCAGAUACAGAGAGCUGUGAAAGCCUGUCUGCAGAUGAAGAGGUCCCAAUGAAUAGCAGUGGUUCUCAGUCCUGGUCCUGGGGACUCAAAGAUACCUUGUCACUGGAGAUUUCCUUCAAAAUGAUUGCCUACAGUUACCUUGUAGGGCACUGCAAGGUUGGGUGACCAGGGCCAUCUGGGACUGCCUCCUGGAGGAAUUCCGGCGUGUGAAGGCUACCUGUUUCCUGCAUAACUUUAUGAGGAUGGACACGAGGACCAGGAGGGGAUCUGCAGCUCGCCGCCAUGUGCCAGAGGAGAAGUCUGCUGCUCUGCAGGAUGUUUCAAGGACGGAGUCCAACAACACAACAAGAGAGGCAAUCCGUGUGCGGGAGAUCUUCACCUCCUACUUCUUCGAAGAGGGUGCUGUUCCCUGGCAACACCAUAGACUACACUAUGUACAACCAAAGCCUCUUUUAAGAGCCAUCCACAAUGCUAUAAGAGUUUUCUACCAUUUACUUAGCUAUGUCAACUGCAGUUACUCAAUUCCCAAUUUCUCUCCCUUUGAUUUCUACUUCUCAGGUGAGGGUGCUGUUUAGGUAAGAGUGUUGAUGUCUGUACAAAAACAAAACAGGCUAUUUUAAGUCACCCACAUUGAAAAAAUUUAGAACAAUUAGACACCCUAGAACCCACACCUACACACUCAUGUAUCAAUCUGAUUGAUGGGUUUUGUUGUGCAGUAAGCAGGCUCAGAUGGGCAGGCUCAGGUGUAUAAGAAGGCAGACGUUUUACGUGCCACCAACCGAUUGUGUUUUUUGAUUGUUUAUUUGCAUUGUUUGUAACUUAUUUUUUUACUUAUUUUGUACAUAAUGUUGCCGCUACCGUCUCUUAUGACCGAAAAUAACUUCUAAACAUCAGGACUGUGAUUACUCACCACGGACAAGCAGAAUCCUUUUUUUCCUUUCACGACUCUGACGAGCCCGACGCAAAGGAUAUACUGCUUCCUCGGGAACAGGCCCCGAUCCCCAUGAUCUGCGUGAAGAGGAGGCUGAGAAAGAGGGGCCGAAGAGCAGGCUGCCUUCUGAGAAUUCGUAGGCGAUCGAAUAAACCCCCACUUCUCCCCAUUCUGCUAGCAAAUGUGCAAUCCUUGGAGAAUAAAGUUGACGAGUUACGCAGAAGAUUAAACUACCAAUGGGACAUUUAAAAACUGUAACAUCUUAUGCUUCAAGGAGUCGUGGGUGAACGAAGACAAUAUCAACAUACAGCUGGCUAGUUAUACGAUGUACCGGCAACAUAGAACAGCGGAGUCUGGUAAGACAAGGGCCGGCAGACUAUGUAUUUUUGUAAAUAACAGAUGGUGCGCGAUAUCUAAGGAAGUCUUGAGCUAUUGCUCGCCUGAUGUAGAAUAUGUCAUGAUAAGCUGUAGACCACACUACCUACCGAGAGAGUUUUCAUCUGUAUUCUUUGUAGCUGUUUACAUACCACCACAGUCAGAGGCUGGCACUAAGACAACAUUGAAUGAGCUGUAUUCCGCCAUAAGCAAACAAGGAAACGCUCACCCAGAGGCGGCGCUCGUAGUAGCCGGGGACAUUAAUGUAGGGAAAGUGAAAUCCAUUUUACCAAAUUUCUAUCAGCAUGUUAAAUGUUAACAUGCAUCUAGUUCCGGAACUCCAAAUUGAGCAGCAGCAGCUGAAAAAUGAGCUCCUACAAAUAUUGAAAUUUACAUGGUUUUUAGAGUGAAGUACAUCGGAAAAAAGCAAAAGAAAACUGCAAGACUGAAUAGGAGAAAAAACAAGCAACAAACAAAGAAGAUAGGCUUUUGAAAAAUAACUAUUUUUCAUAAAAUUGUAGUUAUCUUAGCAAGCUGAAUUGUUUACCAGUUGCUAAGCAGUUGCUAGGGACUCUUUUGGAAGAAGCUAGCUAGCUAACGAAGAACAACAAAGAAUAUCUAGUUAACAGAAGAAAAGAAAGAGAAAAUCAGGACAGAAGAAAAAGGAUAUCAAAGUGAAACAGUUCUCUAAAGACACAGGAGACAAUAAUACAAGAAACAACACUUCUGUAGCUUGUCAACUAUGUGUCUGUCUAUCCCUGUUCUCUCCUCUCUGCACUACCCAUACAAACGCUUCACACCGCGUGGCCGCUGCCACUCUAACCUGGUGGUCCCAGCGCGCACGACCC
rnacentral:lncRNA from 1 species